UACGGAGGGUGCAAGCGUUAAUCGGAAUUACUGGGCGUAAAGCGCACGUAGGCGACUUGGUAUGUCGGGUGUGAAAUCCCCGGGCUCAACCUGGGAACUGCAUCCGAAACUGCCUUGCUAGAGUAUGGGAGAGGGAAGUGGAAUUUCCGGUGUAGCGGUGAAAUGCGUAGAUAUCGGAAGGAACAUCAGUGGCGAAGGCGACUUCCUGGACCAAUACUGACGCUCAGGUGCGAAAGCGUGGGGAGCAAACAGG
rnacentral:rRNA from 1 species